rnacentral:rRNA from 1 species
CCAAUCAAACCGGGAGAUAGCUGGUUCUCCCCGAAAGCUAUUAGGUAGCGCCUCGUGAACUCAUCUUCGGGGGUAGAGCACUGUUUCGGCUAGGGGUCAUCCCGACUUACCAACCCGAUGCAAACUACGAAUACCGAAGAAUGUUAUCACGGGAGACACACGGCGGGUGCUAACGUCCGUCGUGAAGAGGGAAACAACCCAGACCGCCAGCUAAGGUCCCAAAGUCAUGGUUAAGUGGGAAACGAUGUGGGAAGGCACAGACAGCCAGGAUGUUGGCUUAGAAGCAGCCAUCAUUUAAAGAAAGCGUAAUAGCUCACUGGUCGAGUCGGCCUGCGCGGAAGAUGUAACGGGGCUAAACCAUGCACCGAAGCUGCGGCAGCGACACUAUGUGUUGUUGGGUAGGGGAGCGUUCUGUAAG